rnacentral:rRNA from 1 species
AUUGAACGCUGGCGGCACGCCUAACACAUGCAAGUCGAGCGGCAGCGCGAUAUGUAGCAAUACAUAUUGGCGGCGAGCGGCGGACGGGUGAGGAACACGUAGGAACGUACCCUCGAGUGGGGGAUAACCAAGGGAAACUUUGGCUAAUACCGCAGGAUUUCGAGAGAGCAAAGCUGCCGCAAGGUGGCGCUCGAGGAGGGGCCUGCGUCCGAUUAGCAAGUUGGUGAGGUAAGAGCUCACCAAGGCGAUGAUCGGUAACUGGGCUGAGAGGACGACCAGUCACACUGGGACUGAGACACGGCCCAGACUCCUACGGGAGGCAGCAGUGGGGAAUAUUGGACAAUGGGGGCAACCCUGAUCCAGCGAUGCCGCGUGAGUGAAGAAGGCCUUCGGGUCGUAAAGCUCUUUAGGUUGGGAAGAAGAGUGAUGGAGGAAAUGCUAUCACUUUGACGGUACCGACAGAAUAAGCACCGGCAAACUCUGUGCCAGCCGCCGCUGUAAAAC